AUCCCAUAACGAGGACACUUACGAAGCAAUUCUUUCAAUCUUUCCCACGCCUCGUAUAAGGACUCGUCAUCAAAUUGUUAAAAAUUAGUUAUUUCAUUUCACAACUU
rfam:Gossypium raimondii chromosome 10, whole genome shotgun sequence.